rnacentral:rRNA from 1 species
AUGACGUGCUUGCACUGAAUUGACGUUGGAUUCCCAGUGAGCGGCGGACGGGUGAGUAACACGUGGGCAACCUGCCCUGAAGCGGGGAUAACAUCUGGAAACAGGUGCUAAUACCGCAUACAACGAAAACCACAUGGUUUCGUUUCAAAGAUGGUUUCGGCUAUCACUUCAGGAUGGGCCCGCGGUGCAUUAGCUAGUUGGUAAGGUAACGGCUUACCAAGGCGAUGAUGCAUAGCCGAGUUGAGAGACUGAUCGGCCACAAUGGGAACUGAGACACGGGUCCCAUACUCCUACGGGGGGAGGGGCAGCAGUAGGGGGAAUCUUCCACAAUGGGGCGCAAGCCUGAUGGAACAACACCGCGUGAGUGAAGAAGGGUUUCGGCUCGUAAAGCUCUGUUGUUGGAGAAGAACGUGCGUGAGAGUAACUGUUCACGCAGUGACGGUAUCCAACCAGAAAGUCACGGCUAACUACGUGCCAGCAGCCGCGGUAAU